rnacentral:rRNA from 1 species
GACGAACGCUGGCGGCACGCUUAACACAUGCAAGUCGAACGUGAAGCCCCGAGCUUGCUCGGGGUGGAAAGUGGCGAACGGGUGAGUAACACGUGAGGAACCUGCCCCGAAGACCGGAAUAACACCGGGAAACCGGUGCUAAUACCGGAUGCCCUCAUCGGACCGCAUGAUCCGGUGAGGAAAUGGAUUCCGCUUCGGGAUGGCCUCGCGGCCUAUCAGCUUGUUGGUGGGGUAAUGGCCCACCAAGGCAGCGACGGGUAGCUGGUCUGAGAGGAUGUCCAGCCACACUGGGACUGAGACACGGCCCAGACUCCUACGGGAGGCAGCAGUGGGGAAUCUUGCGCAAUGGGCGAAAGCCUGACGCAGCGAUGCCGCGUGCGGGAUGAAGGCCUUCGGGUUGUAAACCGCUUUCAGCAGGGACGAAAUUGACGGUACCUGCAGAAGAAGCCCCGGCCAACUACGUGCCAGCCGCCGCAGUAACAC